rnacentral:rRNA from 1 species
AAUAUUGGACAAUGGGGUGAACCCUGAUCCAGCCAUGCCGCGUGUUUGAAGAAGGUCUUCGGCUUGUAUAGCACUUUAAGCUGGGAGGAAGAGUUGUAGGCUAAUACCUUGCAAUUUUGACGUUACCAACUGAAUAAGCACCUGUUAACUUCGUGCCUGCAGCCGCGGCAAUACGAAGGGUGCAACCGUUAAUCGUAAUUACUGGGCGUAAAGAGCGCGUAGGUGGGUCGUUAAGUUGGAAGGGAAAGACCCGGGCUUAACCUGGGAAUUGCUUUCAAAACUGACGAGCUAGAGUACGGUAGAGGGUAGUGGAAUUUCCUGUGUAGCGGUGAAAUGCGUAGAUAUAGGAAGGAACAUCAGUGGCGAAGGCGACUACCUGGACUGAUACUGACACUGAGGUGCGAAAGCGUGGGGAGCAAACAGG